rnacentral:rRNA from 1 species
UACGGGGGGGGCAAGCGUUGUUCGGAAUUACUGGGCGUAAAGGGCUCGUAGGCGGCCAACUAAGUCGGAUGUGAAAUCCCCAGGCUUAACCUGGGAACUGCAUCCGAUACUGGAUGGCUUGAAUCCGGGAGAGGGAUGCGGAAUUCCAGGUGUAGCGGUGAAAUGCGUAGAUAUCAGGAGGAACACCUGUGGCGAAAGCGGCGCACUGGACCAUAACUGACGCUGGAGGCGCGAAAAGCUAGGGGAGCAAACAGG